AUCAGCAAAGUGCAGGUGGAGAAGAUAGAUGUGAAAGGAAUUGGGGGAAGACUGUAUGUACAGUCCUGGGAGUAAAAUUCCAGGUUAGUUUGCCAACCAGGUUAUUUAUUAUAAGAGAUUAAAGAGAGCACUGUACCCAUCAGGUCCUGAGUUCUUGGUCUACAAGCUGGCCGUCAAGCUGUGGGAGCUGGAAAGAAGUCCAGCAAUGCUGGCGAACACUUAGUCCAGGUUUCUAGUACAGUGCCUUGAAAAGAUGCACAGAGAAGACUGAAAUGGGCAGCGGAGGAGGAGACUAAAGGAAAGACAGAGUCAAACUCUGCAUGAAAUUUCUGCUAUCAUUGAUGGAGAUGACUUGAGAUUAUUAUUUUUGGACUACACCCAAGUUUUUACAUCGGAACAAAAUAAAGAGCCUCAAGGGUGAUAGGAAGAGCUAUUAAGUCAACCCCCAUGUAAAGGCAGCCAUAUUCUCAAUAAGGAUUUCCCAACCUUGCCCCGUUUACACUUGGAACCAGUUCCUCCAGCCCUUGCUUGUAACCCGGAUUCCACCUCUGAUAGAGAUUUGGAGACUGCUGCUGUUGUCCAAGGCACCGGUUUCCUUCCUGAAUCAUUGACUUGUGGUGUCUUCGGGCUCCAACCAGAUGCAGAAGCCUGCACAACUGCCCCACCUGCUCCCACAACUGCCUACCAGCCAAUCCUGACAAUAAUUCCCAUUCUCUGUUUCUCACAGUGGUUCUGUUGCUCUGACUGAACCCUGACAGAUACUCUGUGCUUGUGCGGUUUACAUUCUGGAUAGACAGUAAACGGCUUAAUAAGUAAAUUCUAAAGUGCGCUUAAGAGUGACAGGUGCUAUGGAAAGAAAGAAAAUCAGAGAAGGGAAAGAGUAAGGGUAAUCUAGGGUGCCAUGGGGCUGGAGGUGGGGAGGCAGGUGCCCUGUUAAAUAAGGUGUCCCGAUGGGCCUAAUUGAGAAGGUAAGAUCUGAACAAAGCCUUGAACGAGGUGAGGGGUAGCCAAAGGAAAAUCUUUGAGAGCAGAAGAACAUAGAAUCCUCUCCCUAAGACAGGGGAGUGCCUAAAACAUUCCAGUGGCUUCAAGGAGCCAAUGUGACUGGAAAGGAGAGAGCCAAGAGGUGGACAGGAAGAUAUCAGGCCGAAACUGCAUCAAGGGGUGUGAUUUAUACAGCAGGGGUUGGCAAAUACCGGCCUAUGGACAAACCUAGCCCCUCUGCUUGUUUUUGUACAAGUCUUAUUGGCACACAGCCACGCUUACUCAUUUACACAUCAUCUAUGGGUGCUUUCUGGCUAACAUGGCCAGAGUUGAGUAGCUGUGACAGAGACCAUAUGGCCUACACAGUCUGAAGUAUUUACUAAAAAAAUUUGUUGACCCCUGGUGUAGAGGCUCGGAGUGUUUUGCCUUUACUAUGAACAAAAUGCAAGCCAUCUCAGGUUUUGGGCAGAGGAGGGCCACACUCUAGUUUAUCUUAGACAUGAAUCACCCAUACUGCUGUGUUGAGAGCAGACUCUGGGGGGCAAGGGUGCCAGGUUAGAAGCAGGGAGACCCAUUAGGAAGCUAUCAUGGCAUCCAAGCCAGAGAGGAUGCUGGCUCGGGCCAGAGUGGCAGCGGGGGAUGUGGUCGGAUUCUGAUUAUCUUUUGAAGCUUGAGCCAAACUGACAGAGUGGAUCUGGGUGUGGGAAAAUAAAGGAGUCAACAGUGUACAACUACAACCCAUCUUAAGUGCUAGUAUAAAAGGUUUCCUCAGAGGUGCCUCAGGGACCAGCAGGAGGGGAGCAUUGCCAAUCUCCCCGCCCAACUGGAGCAGGGCUGCUUUGUCUGUUUUGUGUAUUGGGCUGUCUAGUAAUACCACUGUUCUCAACCUUGGCUGCAUGUGAACUCUGGGGAGCUUUACAAGGUACUGA